rnacentral:rRNA from 1 species
AGUGAACGCUGGCGGUAGGCCUAACACAUGCAAGUCGAACGGCAGCACAGUAAGAGCUUGCUCUUACGGGUGGCGAGUGGCGGACGGGUGAGGAAUACAUCGGAAUCUACUUUUUCGUGGGGGAUAACGUAGGGAAACUUACGCUAAUACCGCAUACGACCUACGGGUGAAAGCAGGGGAUCUUCGGACCUUGCGCGAUUGAAUGAGCCGAUGUCGGAUUAGCUAGUUGGCGGGGUAAAGGCCCACCAAGGCGACGAUCCGUAGCUGGUCUGAGAGGAUGAACCGGCACACUGGGACUGAGACACGGGCCCGACUUCCACGGGGGGGCACAGGGGGGGAUAUUUGACAAUGGGGCGAAACCUUGUCCAGGCCAUCCCGGUUGGGUGAAGAAGGCCUCCGGUUUGUAAAGCCCUUUUGUUGGGAAGGAAAGGAAGCGGGUUAAAACCCCGCUGUCUGGCCGUUCCCAAAGGAUUAAGCCCCGCCUACUUCCUG